CAUGGCAUGGGCAAUAGAUCGACUGGCUGGUGCAUCAGACCUGGAGCUGCAACAGAGGCAGAUACUUGAAGUACAAAGCAAGAACUCUAUCACACCCCUUCCAACUUAUUUUGAAGCAAAGAUCAGUAAUAUUGCCUCGUUUUAAAAAAUGAAAAAAAUCUGGAACAAAUGGUAACCAGACAAUACACCAGGACAGCAGGUGUAAAAAAGACUAGAGAAGCAUGAAGACUGACUAUCACCCUGGUUGCAGAGAUUGACCUGACCACAUGGAAAGGAAUAACUUCUGAACCCAGAGAUGCUCUCAGUUCCCCUGUUGUCCUCCUGCUUUGCUUAGCAUUCGUAUUUACAAUGCAUCUUUCUUCUGAAGAUCUAAAGGCUCUGAAACUCAUGUUAUUGUCAUAGGGCUGUGACUCAAAUAUAUGCAAAUUUAAAUUUAAAUUUAAAAAGAGAAUGAUUAAUUUAGAGGAAGCCUUGCUUACUUGGUGCUGACUUGCUUCUUUUUCCUGUGUUGAGCAUGAAUUUUCUGAAUCAGCAAGUGUAUCCCUCUGCAGUGGAAUGGUGACCCAGCAUCUCUCUUUGUUGAAUCAGAGGGUGCUGUAUAUUCGCAUUUCCUUUGGGUUGACUGUCUACAUGAAGCUCUGUCAUACGUACUUUUUAUUCAUGCAACGCAUCAGGUAACCAGCAGCAGCAAAGGUUAACUCCUAGGGAUGCCAGCAGGACUUCUUAUUCAGAGGAAAUGGUUUGUGAUAAAGAAUCAUCUGCAGCUAAAGGCUUUUAUUCCCCUUCCAAGCUUGUUUUCACGUUUAAAUAUUGCUUAUAUGGAAAAAAGCCAGUGAUAUUUUGAGUGUGUGUGCAUUAUUUUUUAAGUCGAGGUGAUUCUAAUAUGAUCAGCAGAAAUCAUGAAUGACUAAUUUGGGCUCUGCUUGUUACAAAAACAUCUGUGUGAUUUCUUUUUCUGAUAAGUACAUUUGAUUGAGGGUAUUCCAGAAAAUUCUGCUUUUCACAUUUUAAUACUCUUGGGAAAUAUUUAUUUAUGCUUAUUGUGUGCACAGCUCUGUACUAGACACUGGGAAGGGAGGUUAUUGGAAGGAGAGAGGAAUGAGACAUCCAGAAAGCCGCAACAGACUCAGCCCUCAGAAGGGCUUAUUAUCUGGAGGAGGAGGCAUCGCAUAUACACACCGGACAGCCGGGAAAAUGAUUGGCCUCUUUUGUUGACUAUGUGAUGUGAGAUCUCCAGUUUCCAAACCGGGACCUUAAAGUUGGAAUUACUGCUGCUAAUACAUCUGGUUCUAGCAAUGGCCUUUCAGAUCUUUUGAUUUCAAAUAUUCAUGCAAACAUCACACUUCAUUAAUCAGCCCAUGCUGGAUUAAUAAUAUCCAAGUUAACUGGAAGUAAUAGAAAAUAUGAAGAAGAGGGGGAAACAUUCUCCAAAUUUAAAUCUCUUUUAUUUUCUAGCUUUAGUGCUAACUUAAUGUGCUUUCUGUUCUGAGCAACACUUUCCUAACUUUUGUCUUUCCUGUUCGUCCCUACCCCAAUCAUAAAACUACUGAGUAGCUCUUUAAAAAUAACCAUUACCCAGGGGAAGAAAAAAAAAAUGAAAGGAUGGUGUUAAAGUCUUUUCACUGUGAAGGAGAAGGGAAGAACGUUCUAGGGGAAUGCUAAAUACAUUUUCAUAGAAUAUUAGGCUCAGGAAGCCUCUCAGAGAUUGAGUUGAAUAUUCCUCCAGCAGAAAGUUCCGGUUUUCCAAUCUCUGACUUGCUCAAGUAGUUCCAAAGGCUUCACGUGCUUCAGAUGACUUCGAGAUGACUCCUUUGUGUGUCCCACUCACAAGGAUUAGUCAGAGUUUUCUCCUUUGCAGGUGACAGAAAGCUGAUUCAGUGUAGCUGAUGCAAAAAUAGGAAUCUUUUGCUCUAGGUAAGUGGGUAGACAUAGCUGAACCCAGGAAUUUGUGGGCUGUCAUUAAUGAUCUUGUCUCCUUUCUCUGUGUGGGUUCAAUAUCAGGCAUCCUCUUCUCAUGUUGUGGCAAUGAUAGCUACUAGCAGCGAUCAACUUAUAUUAUCCUUUUACCUAGGGAUUAUAGUGAAAAGCCCAAGCCUCUUUCUUUCUUUCUUUCCUUUCCUUUUUUUUUUUUUUAAAGAUGUUUUAUUUAUUUAUUCGUGAGAGACACACACAC